GAAACUGCUCUGAGUGAGCAGCUGGGGAGGAACCAUGACCAGGCCAUCCAGUACUUGCUGCGGGUUAGGUCGGUGGGUUGGCUGGAGCGCCAGCCAGGUGGCCUUGUUUGGCCACAGUCCUGGUUCCUAGGGCCAAGGAAGCUUGGGCUUCUCCAAAGAACAAGGGGUGGGGCUGAUUUCCAUUUCAACCCAGACUUCCCUCCAGAUUCACACAAGGGCCCUUCCUCACUUUCAGUGGCCUGGCCAGAGAACCCUGACUCAUGGUGGGCAUGUCUGCUGUGUGACCUGAUGUGAGACACCACUUCCUUCCCACCCGCAUCUCUGUCGGUGUUUGGUCUGUGAAGUAUGAGGCGCCGAUUCUUUUCUUGCUGGUCGACGCUCAACCACUGAGCCACGCCUGGCCAGGCCCCUGUAUUAUACUUGAAGACGUUGGUGACCUGCCUUGUGUCACAGCCCAUUCAAUCUGUGUUCCUGUGUUCACUGAAGUCAGCCACCAAACCACAGAGGCGAACAUGGUACUAGCCAAGGCUUAUGCCACGUCUGGAGAGGCCUAGCACUGGGCAGGUCUUCUACUAUCAGUAAAGAGAGACCCUCUAUACAAGGUAGUGGACAAUAAAGCCAACCUUGCCGAGAACUGACAGCAGUGGUAGAUCAAAGCAGAACUAAGGACUCCAGGAAAAACCGUCUACUCCGCAGCAGCAUUACAGUAGCGAAACAGGUGGCGUGCUCUCGGAAAUGAAUGGCCUUCAGGACGGUGGAGAGGUUCCUAACGUUGUCGAGGCAGGCCACC